rnacentral:lncRNA from 1 species
GGGGGCAAUAAACAGAGGGAGAAUUUUUCUAGGUAAGUCCCAUGAAAGCAAUAUCGAAACCUCUAUUUACCAAUACAAAAAUUCAUCCUUUGCCUUCCUGCUUUCUUAAUACCCAAGAGAGAAGCGUUGUGAUUUUAUGUGCCCUGUGCAGCUCCCAACAUUCAAAGUCAACAACAUUAAAAGUGCCAACAUUAAAAUACUUUGGCCAAGAGGCUAUAGUAACUGGUAAAUCCUAGUUGGGGGAAAAUGGGACUUAUCGAGUCCGGACGGAAGAGAGUGUUGGUGUUGUUUGAAGGGACAUGGAGGUAUACAUGGUGGUUAAUUCCCCUGUACUUCCCUGGAAAAGUGGCUCCCCUCCACCACCCACCAGACGUAUUCCUAGCUGUCCACGAGGGAAUCUGACCCUGUUAGCACUGAGUAUUUAUGAUCAACAUUUAUCAGUGGUUAUAUUAACUGUCAAAUGAUUAUACCUCUAAAUGCCAUUGUGUGUGUGUUUGUAUGCGCGCAUUGGGGAAGCUGGUUCGGGAAGAGAAAGUAUUCUUGAAGCAAAUGUGUUGUCUCUUUUAAAUGGUGUCUCCAAUACCAAAUUGGAAGUCUCGUGUCGUGUAAGUAUUGAGGACAAAAACCAAAAAAUGGAGGAAAGGUGUGUGUGUGGGGAUGUUACACAGGUGAAGAUUUUGGGACCUAGAGAGAGUGGUUUGCCUUGGGUCACACAGUUAGACAGCAUGGUUGGAACUAAACUGAGAUCUCUUGGCUCCCAAUUCAGUGGUCUUGCCGUGGUGCCCUGGGGCUCUUCCUCCUGUGUUUAUUACCUUCUCACGGUGCUUGUCUGAAACUGAGCCCCUUGGGUUUUUGUACUUCUCUAGGCAUUUCAUCUUUCCUCCACUUCCUUGCCAUCUCCAGGGGCACUUGAAGCUGCCAGCUCCCCCCGAGGCUUGCAGGUAAUGCUCACACUCUGUGGUAUCCCUCCUACAAUUACUUGGCCAGGAGCCCAGACCCAGAAGCCUGGGUUUCACUUGCAGGAAGUUAGGGCAUAUCCUCAAAGCUUGUGCACUGGCUUCCCUGCCUCUUCCUCUUCUCUCCCUGGCUCUUUGUACCACCUGGAUUAACGUCUGUCUGUCUUCACAAGCUGUUGGCUGUGAUUCCCCAUCUCAUUCCUUAAUUUGCCAAGUUCACAUUUUUCCAUAGCUCUAUAUAGCUAUAUUUUCUUUAGAUCAACUAAUUGGUUUUUUUAACUUAAAUAAUUUAUUUAAAAACUUAAUAGCACUACUGUAUAUUGAUAACCAAGAUUAGUGGCCAGUACAGAAGGUAACUAUUAAAAAAAAAGAACAAUGCUGUGAAAUUCUAGCUAGAUUCACUUGAGUGCUGAAGGCCUUCUGUUUUUUAAUUUAAUUUAUUGUUUAAAAAGUUGAUUAAGGAGUUCCCGUCGUGGCGCAGUGGUUCACGAAUCCGACUAGGAACCAUGAGGUUGCGGGUUCGGUCCCUGCCCUUGCUCAGUGGGUUGACGAUCCAGCGUUGCUGUGAGCUGUGGUGUAGGUUGCAGACGCGGCUCGGAUCCCGCGUUGCUGUGGCUCUGGCGUAGGCCGGUGGCUACAGCUCCGAUUCGACCCCUAGCCUGGGAACCUCCAUAUGCCACGGGAGCGGCCCAAAGAAAUAGCAAAAAAAUAAAUAAAUAAAAUAAAAAGUUGAUUAAGAAGUGGUGAAGAGGUUGUUAAAGCAGAGUUUCCAUUUAAUUUAGCCAGAAUUAUUACAAGGCCAUGAAGGAGAUGAGAAUUUUCUAAGCAUGUGAAUCGGUGUUUUAAGCCACUCAGGUACUACCUAAAGUCAGUUCACGGGGGGUCCCAUACCUGGAAUAACCCAGAUCCACAGAGUUAAGUUGAUAUUUGGGGAGAUCCUGAGCCCUGGGGUUAUGUUGAAGAGGUUUUGGCCAGUGGUGCAAUGUGAUCUAACUUUCCUGUGUCCCUACCCACUGGACGUGCUGGCACAACACUCCACGUCAUUGUAGGUUGUAUAGCUGUGACCCUAGUUUAGAGUACUCAUUUGUAUUGGUACCAAGUAUUAUGACCUAAUUAGAUAAGUUUGACGUGAAUAAAAAUAGAUCCAGGAUCAAGUGUUCCUGAUCAGUAUUGUUCACAUUUGAUCAUAGGAUCAUAGCAUUAAAGGCUAUAAAUAUUUCCCAUCACACUUCAAACUCAUUUUCUAAUACAGAAAAUGAGAAAUAGGAGUUCUUGUUAUGGUGCAGUGGGUUAAUGAUCCAGCUUGUCUCUGUGGAGGUCCUGGUUCAACCCCUGGCGUGGUGUAGUGGGUUAAGGAUACAGCAUUAGUGCAGCUGUGGCUGGCAUUUGAUCCCUGGGUUGGGAACUUCCAUAUGCCUCAAAGGGAGCCAAGAAGAAAAAGAAAAUAAGUAUAUAGAAGUUCCUUUUUCCUUUUCUAUGGUACAUAGUUAUUGAAUGUCUUCUCUGUGCAGAACAUUGAGGUAUAAAAGAUAUAUACAGUAUCGCUGCUUAACUUCUGGAAGUCUGAAUGUUCCUGUUUGGUGGAGGGGAUGAGUCUGGGCCAGUGCACUGAAGAGGGCUUGGGAAAUAGUUCUGGUUCGAAAUGGCAGGAGGCACAUGGCUCCUGGUGCCAGCAGGCCCCUUCACGUUGCAAUCUUUGUGAAGGGGUUGUGCGGGGUGUAGCCAGGGUAGUUGUAUGCAGUGGUCCUACAGGGUAAAGUGUGCUUACCAGCACCUUCUGGUGGAGGCCUCUGAAUGCCUUUUUGGAAUUCAGUUUGCCAGUCACCUAUUCAGUACCUUGUAAUUCUCAGUGCUAUUGGAGGCAGUAUGGGGAAGCAUAUCUGGUGGAAGGCGUAGCCUUGGUCCUUGAGAUGCUUGUGCUCUGGUUUAUGUACCAGAAGGAUGAAGAGCAUGUGCUCUGGAGUCAGACUGUGGUUUCAAGUCUUAGCUGUGGGCACUGUUUACUGUGUGACAUUGGACAAACGACUUAACCUUUCUGGGCCUCGUCCUUCCCCUUGAAAUGAGGAUAACAGUAGUACUGAUUUAGAGGGCCACUGUGAGAAUUAAACGAUAAAAUGAUGCCUGGCACAGAGUAAGAGCUCAAUAAAUGUUAAGUGUUACGAUUGUGAAGAGAAUGAUUUUAGGGUGAAUCAUUCCAAGGUGUUUGAUAAUUCAUUCAGUAUGUUGUUGUGCAGAUUGUAAACCCAAUGCUGAAGGAAUUCAAAUCAAGGAGAAAAAAAAUUUACCGAAGACUGGUACUAGUCGGGAAAAGCAAUGUCAUAAAGUCCUUGCAUUUCCAGCGUGCUUUAUUUCCCCCUCAGUUUGUGAAAUUAUAUUCCAUGUAUGGUUUUGGGAAAUAUGAGCAGGAUUCAUCAGCAGCAGAGGCAAAAUCAGAAGAAUCCUAGCAUCUCCAUCUUGUUGAAUUAUUUAUCGUUUCUUGCUGAGGAGCAGACUGAUUGCUUCUUGCCCUGCUAUAGACGGAUCGGAUUUGAUUCUGUCCCCAUGCAGUCUGGUGAGCUUAUUUUAAUAAGAACAACUUAAUAUUGCAACUCUGCAGCGAGGCUUUCGCGUCCCUCUAGGACAUUCGGCACUACACGCUCUGAGCUGGCGGGCUCUUCUGAUUAUUUCAGAUGAGGAAACUGAGUUAUCCUCCCUAGGAGGGCUUAUGUGAAUAAUCUUAGAAUUGACAUUUAAAUUCAAUCAGCAUUUUUUUUUCUUGCAUUUGUCAAGUGCCAGACACUGUGCUAGAUGCCUUCACGUCCAUUAUUACAUUGAAGGCUCCAAAUAAUCUUAUGAGGUAGACAUUAUUAUUAUAAACCUAUUUAAAAGAUAAGAAAGCCAAAGAGAGGGUAAGUACCUUGCCCAAGGUCACUGAGGUAGCAUGCAUGAGGAAAGAUUUCCAGCGCUGUUUUCAUGCUGCACACCCAAUCCUAGCGUGCUGCGCUGCUCCAGGCUGCCCUGGUGGCAGGCUCCUUCCUCUUUCCCUCCCUCCCUUCCUGUCUUCCUUUCUUUCCACCUGCCUCUGUCUCUCCCUCUCUUCUUCCUUCCUUCCCUCCUCCCUCCCUCCUUUCCUUCUUUUCCUCCUUCCUGUUCUGUAACUUUUUUUUUUUUUUUAAGUGAAGGCAAGUUUAUGUAGAGAGAGAUAUGGUCCAUAGGCAGAAUGUGGUCCAUCUCAGAAAGCAAGAGCAGCCCCACCUAUGCUUAAAAGAUUUUUAAUUGAUACAUGCUAUACACCGUUUUUAACAUCACAGGGAAUACAUAGCAUACCAAAUAGAUACACAUCACAAAAAAAUUUCAAACGGAAAAAGUUUAGUCUGUGGAAACCAAAUCAGUAUCAUUUUUUAAAUUGUUAGAUUGGUUGUCAUUUUUUAUCUUUGAAUACUGUUUCUUAGUUGUUAAUAACAGCAACAGGGACAUGAAGAAAAUUAAUCAGUUUUCAUUUUUUAAUGCAACGUGGAAAGUAAAAAGGAACUCUGCGUCCCUGGACUGUGCCAGGCACGUGAUAGCAGCUCUACACACACCUUUCAGCCUUCACUCUGUAGAGUGAUUUUUGGUGCUAGGUGUUAUCUCACAUGGCAGCAGGGAAGUGAGUCUUCAAGAGUCCCUGGAACUUGCUCUCUACUUAUGGGUGAUGGAAUCAUAACUUGAAGACAGGUCUGCCUGACUCCACAUCCUAUCUUUUCUUGGUUGUGUUCUCUUUUUUUUCCCUAGUUAAGUGUUAGCUUUGGCCAGAAUUCGGAGUAUAGGAGACAGGUAUUUAAGAAGAGGCAUAGGAGAGUUUGUUCAAUGGCAAGAAUGAGGAAUAGUUAAAGCCUUAGGAUCUGAGCCACACCUCCCUCGUUUGUACCAGGAGAUGUCGUGGAGGAUGGAGCUAAUGUAAAGAUGAAUCAGAGCAUCUUGGACCAGAGUCCCAGGUGUGUCCUGUGGCCCCAUCAGUGAGAGACCCUUCCUUCAGCCCGCCUCACUCUGGCCGGUUCACAAAGGUGGUUUCCCUCUCUGUUGACCUCUGCUCUCCCCUUCUGAGGAAGAGAUGCUGUUUACUUUCCAUCCGGUUGUGGUUCUGCGAGCUGUUAAGACGCCAACAUGUUCCAGGCUCCUAUGUUAAUGGCGUGGGGAUUAAAACUAAACAAAGCAAGCAAGCAUUUGACAAUAAAUGAGUCGAUUGGAAGUGAGUAGUGAGUGCGGAAGGGUGGGUGUGUUUUGUGCUUGUUUAUUGACUCUGGUAUUUUGGGCAAGUCUUUAAACUUCAGUUUGCCUCUGUUGUGCUGGCUAUAAAAUGGGAGAUAACGGUAGCGUGUGUCUCUUAACACUCGGAGGUGGUGAGAGGUUAAUUACUUAAUGCCUCGAAAAUUCUUCAGGCUCCAUGGCCAGGACCAGAAACGGGAAACGUUUUCUCCCCAAACCUUAUCAGGCUUCUGCCCUGUUCUCUGAGGCUCCAGUCUCAGAGGGGAGCCAUUGGAAGCAUAGAAAACAGAUUGAAAAGGGGAGUGAAAAAGAAAAAGAAUUGUAAAGAGAAGAGGUUGUGGGGAUGCCACCUUCAGGAUUGUUUUGUGUUUGGUUAGAUGAAGGGAGGUCUCCAAGAGAAGAAGCCAGGAGUCCAUUUGUGCUUAUUUUUACAAACCUCUGUGCUUGCAUUACUUCUCUUUGGUGAGAAGUAGGUGCAUUGCAUCUGUUUUUGACGGAGCCCUCCCAUGAUCUAGGGUGGACUGGUGGAUUUGUUUUUUGUAAAUACUCGAGUCCUCAGGUUCGAUCUUGGUACUCUCCUUGUAUUUCUUUCCCUCCCUCUUCUCUGUGUCAUUUCUGACCAGAGCAAUGCUUAGGGCCAGACCUGAAGGUAGAAUAGCAUCCUUCCACAGUCAGGAACUUUGGGAGAGUUUUUCCCUUUAAGACAAAGUCAUAUCUCCUGACACAGACUCCUGAGCCCGGGUGCAGCUCUGCCUGGCCCCCACUUUGUCCCCCGAUUCCCACCCUGCCUGGCAGCUGUACGGUGAGGCAGAAGAGGCAGCCAGAUGCAUUGUUUUUUCUAAUCAGAGGGAAACACUUUCAUCCUUUAAGUUGACGAGUCUUUUUCAGGCAAAAUCAACAGCAUUUUAAUUAUAGGACCCUAGGACGUCCUGUUUUAUCCCCCCCCCCAUUUUAAUGUCUUUCACACAAAAUUUUUCAUCAACCUUUGCUUUCUAAUAGAAUACUAGACAACACAGCAAGGACACUUAGAUGCCUCUCCUCUCUGCGAUUUUGCCAGGGUGCUGAAUGUCUUAGGGAUUAAGGAUGUUUUGGCAACGCAUUUUUUCCUUUUUUCUUUUUCUUUUCUUUUUUAGGGCUAUACUCACAGCAUAUGGAAGUUCCUAGGCUAGGCGUUGAAUCAGAGCUACACCUGCCAGCCUAUGCCACAGCCACAACAAGGCGGGGUCCAAGCUGCAUCUGUGACCCAUACCACAGCUCACAGCAAUGCCGGAUCCCUAGCCCACUGAGCAAGGCCAGGGAUUGAACCCGUGUCCUCAUGGAUCCUAGUCGGGUUCUUUAACUGCUGAGCCACGAAGGGAACUCCUCCAGCAACUCAAUUUUAUGUCUCAUUGAUUUGUAUGGUAAGAAAACUGGAGUUCUCAUGCGGCCAGAUUUUUUUCUUCAUGACCAAGAGCCUUUCUUGCAUGUUCCCCUGUGCCUCUCUGGGCGGUGCUGCUAGGGCUCAGUGAGUAUGAUGUGUGGCUGCCGUGGGAGCUCAGGAGUCCUUGGGACUGACCCAGGUUCACAUUCCUGUACAUUUGAAAUAGGGCUUCUCUCUGACAGCUGUGGGGUAGGAAGGUUCUUCUCCCCGACAGAAGGGUGGGUAUAUCAAGCUGUUUUUUCUUUUAAAUUUCACUUUAAGUAGCAUAGAGAUCUUCUUAAACACUGCCUCCCCCCUCCGGUUUGAAGUCGAAGAUGCUGCUCACAGGAUUCGUAGGACCACCAUCUCCCCCUGGUCCAAAGCCUUGUGGGCAAGUGCCGGCCAGGAGCAUCUGUGUGCUAAGGUUGCCAGAGAAAGAAGCAGUUGACCUCUGGUGUUUGUUUUGCAACUAACAGAGAACCAGAGGGAACUCUUCUGAAAUGUUUGCUUCAGGGUACAAUGAUGAAACCGCUGUUGGCUCCUCUUAGAAAAUCUGUUAAAUCUGAGAGCGGAAAAAUACCUACUUUUGAUUAUAAAAAAAAAAAAAAAA